rnacentral:rRNA from 1 species
CACCUGCGCCACGAGUGGCAAUCUCAUUUAUUUGGCCUAAAGCGUUCGUAGCCGGAUAAGUUAGUCUUGGGUGAAAUCGUUGCGCUUAACAAAACGACGUGCUUGAGAUACUGCUUGUCUAGAGACCGGGAGGAGUUAGGGGUAUUCCGGAGGGAGCGGUAAAAUAUGCUGCUAAGCAUACUAAAAGUGCUUAGCACUUUUACAGUGCUAUAAUCUCCGGAGGACCACCUGUGGCGAAGGCGCCUAACUAGAACGGGUCUGACGGUGAGGAACGAAAGCUAGGGGAGCAAACCGGAUUAG